CUAAUACAUGCAAGUCGUACGCUAGCCGCUGAAUUGAUCCUUCGGGUGAAGUGAGGCAAUGACUAGAGUGGCGAACUGGUGAGUAACACGUAAGAAACCUGCCCUUUAGUGGGGGAUAACAUUUGGAAACAGAUGCUAAUACCGCGUAACAACAAAUCACACAUGUGAUCUGUUUGAAAGGUCCUUUUGGAUCGCUAGAGGAUGGUCUUGCGGCGUAUUAGCUUGUUGGUAGGGUAGAAGCCUACCAAGGCAAUGAUGCGUAGCCGAGUUGAGAGACUGGCCGGCCACAUUGGGACUGAGACACUGCCCAAACUCCUACGGGAGGCUGCAGUAGGGAAUUUUCCGCAAUGCACGAAAGUGUGACGGAGCGACGCCGCGUGUGUGAUGAAGGCUUUCGGGUCGUAAAGCACUGUUGUAAGGGAAGAAUAACUGAAUUCAGAGAAAGUUUUCAGCUUGACGGUACCUUACCAGAAAGGGAUGGCUAAAUACGUGCCAGCAGCCGCGGUAAUACGUAUGUCCCGAGCGUUAUCCGGAUUUAUUGGGCGUAAAGCGAGCGCAGACGGUUUAUUAAGUCUGAUGUGAAAUCCCGAGGCCCAACCUCGGAACUGCAU
rnacentral:rRNA from 1 species